GAACGCAUAUUGCGCUCUUUGGUAUUCCGAAGAGCAUGCUUGUUUGAGUAUCAGUAAACACCUCACUUUUCUCUUUUUUUUUAAAAAAAAAGGAGAGUGGACUUGAGCUAUCCCAACAACCUUCAUUGGUAGGCGGGCGGCUUGAAAUGCAGGUGCAGCUGGACUUUUAUCUGAGCUAAAAGCAUAUCUAUUUAGUCCUCGUCAAACAGGAUUAUUACUUUUGCUGCAGCUAACAUAAAGGAUAAUCGUCCUCUUUGCUGACUGAUGCAGGAUUUUACGACACAUAUGUGUCGUUCAACUCGAUCUCAAAUCAAGUAAGACUACCCGCUGAACUUAAG
rnacentral:misc_RNA from 1 species